CAUGGCUCAGGAUGAACGCUAGCGGAAGGCCUAACACAUGCAAGUCGAGCGGUAUUUGGUAGCUUGCUACUAGAGAGAGCGGCGUACGGGUGCGUAACAUGUGUGCAACCUACCCUUAUCAAGGGGAUAGCCAUUCGAAAGGAUGAUUAAUACCCUAUAAUAUAUCAGGUGGCAUCAUUUGAUAUUGAAAGCUACGGUGGAUAAGGAUGGGCACGCACAAGAUUAGCUAGUUGGUAAGGUAACGGCUUACCAAGGCGAUGAUCUUUAGGGGUCCUGAGAGGGAGAUCCCCCACACUGGGACUGAGACACGGCCCAGACUCCUACGG
rnacentral:rRNA from 1 species